GACGAACGCUGGCGGCGUGCCUAAUACAUGCAAGUUGAGCGCUGAAGGUUGGUACUUGUACCAACUGGAUGAGCAGCGAACGGGUGAGUAACGCGUGGGGAAUCUGCCUUUGAGCGGGGGACAACAUUUGGAAACGAAUGCUAAUACCGCAUAAAAACUUUAAACACAAGUUUUAAGUUUGAAAGAUGCAAUUGCAUCACUCAAAGAUGAUCCCGCGUUGUAUUAGCUAGUUGGUGAGGUAAAGGCUCACCAAGGCGAUGAUACAUAGCCGACCUGAGAGGGUGAUCGGCCACAUUGGGACUGAGACACGGCCCAAACUCCUACGGGAGGCAGCAGUAGGGAAUCUUCGGCAAGGGACGAAAGUCUGACCGAGCAACGCCGCGGGAGUGAAGAAGGUUUUCGGAUCGUAAAACUCUGUUGGUAGAGAAGAACGUUGGUGAGAGUGGAAAGCUCAUCAAGUGACGGUAACUACCCAGAAAGGGACGGCUAACUACGUG
rnacentral:rRNA from 1 species